UACCUGAUAGUUUUUUUUUUAACUUUUAUUUAAUGAAUAUAAAUUUCCAAAGUACAGCUUAUGGAUUACAGUGGCUUCCCCCCCAAUAACUUCCCUCCCACCCGCAACCCUCCCCUUUCCUGCUCCCUCUCCCCUUCCAUUCACAUCAAGAUUCAUUUUCAAUUCUCUUUAUAUACAGAAGAUCAGUUUAGUAUACAUUAAGUAAAGAUUUCAACAGUUUGCACCCACAUAGAAACACAAAGUGAAAAAUACUGUUUGAGUACUGGUUAUAGUAUUAAAUCACAAUGAAUAUACCUGAUAGUUACAUUAUAGUUUCACUUGACAUAAUAUAUAAAUCUGUGUAAUGUGGGUUCCCAUUACUUUCCAGUAGGCAGCCACGGCUGGGGCUAUUUGUCCUUCCACUUAACUUCAUCUCAAUGGAUUUGGUGGGGCAAAGAGUGGGCUCUGUGGGUAACUUCUGACCACAUCACCACUACUAGCAGGCUCCCUGGGCCUGCAGCAUUGGGUAAUGCACUGUGGUCCCUAAGGACAGAUUGGAAGCUUGGCUGUAGUUCCUCUUCUGUAUCCCAGGGGAAAAGUUAAUGAUGAUCUGGAGGGUGGUAUUUUCCCAUUUACUCACCCAGCAGCCAUUUCGCUGUCUGUGCUAAGGGAGAUUGUAAUGGACAAGCCAGUAUGAAAGUAGCUUCUAUGUAGGGUGAUGGUGAAAGGGUGAUCUCUGCCCAGAUGUGAUUUCUUUUUAAAAAUAUUUUAUUAAUAUAAAAUGAAAAGAUUUCAUGUAUUUUAUAAAUACAAUGCUGAUAAAUAUAAUGCACUCUUUCUAGGUCUCCCUCAAUCCCCCUCCUUCCUUCCUUUUUUUUUUCAUUAAUUUUUUUGUAAAAACAAUUUAAGACCACUUAUAAUUACAGACUUAAUGUACUACUAACUAUAAUAAUCAACAAAUAAAAAUAUAAAGACCACAGUUCCACAGAGCAUAAACAAGGGCCAAAUAAUAGCAAAUCAUUAGAUGUCCAUUUCAUUCCUAUACAUUUUUUGGUAAUUCUAAAUUAACUACCAUGUAUCAGAGAAAACAUGAUAUUUGUCUUUUGGGGACUGGCUUAUUUCAUUAAGCCCAAUGCUUUCCAGUUGCAUCCAUUUUGUUGCAGAAGACACAUUGCAUUCUUUUUUUGUGGAAAAGUAGUAUUCCAUAAUGUAUAUAUAACCACAUUUUCUUUAUCCAGUCUUCAGUUGAUGGACAUCUGGGUUGAUUCCAUAUCUUAGCUGUUGUGAAUUGAGCUGCAAUAAAUAUGGAGGUUUAUCAUGAAAAGUGUUUAAGGUGACGAACAGGAAUUUCCUCUGACACUUGCAGCCACCGAGGACCUAGGAUGCAGUAUUUGCACUGUUAAUAGGCAGUAUGGGAAUUUGCCAGUGGAUGAGUCACUUUGCUUUCUAGUUUUAUAUCACAGUAUUGAUAAAAUGUAUAAAUAUUUCUACUUUUGAA